UGCGUAGGUGGCCUUUUAAGUUGGAUGUGAAAUACCCGGGCUUAACUUGGGGGUGCAUCUAAUACUGGAGGGCUAGAGUGCAGGAGAGGAAAGCGGAAUUCCUAGUGUAGCGGUGAAAUGCGUAGAUAUUAGGAGGAACACCAGCGGCGAAGGCGGCUUUCUGGACUGUAACUGACACUGAGGCACGAAAGCGUGGGGAGCAAACAG
rnacentral:rRNA from 1 species